UUGGUGCAUUCACUUGUAUUCAAUUUGUGAGUUUUGGGUGAUUCUACAGUAGCUGUGCCUGUCUCUAAAAAGGGAUUAUCGUCUAAGCGUUUUUUUCCCCUUUUUUGCAAAACGGUCCGUUACAAUUGGUGGCAAGCGGCGGGAUCGUUCCCACAGACUACAGGACAGCUACAGGCAACACCAUUCCGUGGAUUUACAAUUUGAGGGCAACGCAUGUCUGAG